rnacentral:rRNA from 1 species
GACGAACGCUGGCGGCGUGCUUAACACAUGCAAGUCGAACGGAAAGGCCCUGCUUUUGUGGGGUGCUCGAGUGGCGAACGGGUGAGUAACACGUGAGUAACCUGCCCUUGACUUUGGGAUAACUUCAGGAAACUGGGGCUAAUACCGGAUAGGAGCUCCUGCUGCAUGGUGGGGGUUGGAAAGUUUCGGCGGUUGGGGAUGGACUCGCGGCUUAUCAGCUUGUUGGUGGGGUAGUGGCUUACCAAGGCUUCGACGGGUAGCCGGCCUGAGAGGGUGACCGGCCACAUUGGGACUGAGAUACGGCCCAGACUCCUACGGGAGGCAGUAGUGGGGAAUAUUGCACAAUGGGCGGAAGCCUGAUGCAGCAACGCCGCGUGCGGGAUGACGGCCUUCGGGUUGUAAACCGCUUUCGCCUGUGACGAAGCGUGAGUGACGGUAAUGGGUAAAGAAGCACCGGCUAACUACGUG